AAAAUAACAGGGCAGGGGAGAUAACAUGAUCACCCUGGUUUUCCCAGGGUGAGGUUUAUUCAUUGCACUCUGGAUGUGUUGACCCUUAUGAUUUUUCCAAAUGUAGGAAACUCGACUGCAUAAUUUGUGGUAGUAGGGGACUGCAUUUGCACUUUCCCCUA